ensembl:miRNA MIR6744 microRNA 6744
UCACGUGGAUGACAGUGGAGGCCUCCUGGAUCUCUAGGUCUCAGGGCCUCUCUUGUCAUCCUGCAG